AGUGGCGGACGGGUGAGUAACGCGUGAGAAUCUGCCUUGGGGUCGGGGACAACCACUGGAAACGGUGGCUAAUACCGGAUAAGCCGAUUGGUGAAAGAUUUAUUGCCCGAAGAGGAGCUCGCGUCUGAUUAGCUAGUUGGUGAGGUAAGAGCUCACCAAGGCAGCGAUCAGUAGCUGGUCUGAGAGGACGAUCAGCCACACUGGGACUGAGACACGGCCCAGACUCCUACGGGAGGCAGCAGUGGGGAAUUUUCCGCAAUGGGCGAAAGCCUGACGGAGCAAGACCGCGUGAGGGAGGAAGGCUCUUGGGUUGUAAACCUCUUUUCUCAGGGAAGCUCUGACGGUACCUGAGGAAUCAGCCUCGGCUAACUCCGUGCCAGCAGCCGCGGUAAUACGGAGGAGGCAAGCGUUAUCCGGAAUUAUUGGGCGUAAAGCGUCCGCAGGUGGCGAUUCAAGUCUGCUGUCAAAGCACGGGGCUUAACUCCGUAAAGGCAGUGGAAACUGAAUAGCUAGAGUGCCGUAGGGGUAGAGGGAAUUCCCGGUGUAGCGGUGAAAUGCGUAGAGAUCGGGAAGAACAUCGGUGGCGAAAGCGCUCUACUGGACGGCAACUGACACUCAGGGACGAAAGCUAGGGGAGCGAAUGGGAUUAGAUACCCC
rnacentral:rRNA from 1 species